CAAAUCAUCAUCCCUUGUGUAUAGUAGACAGUACUAGCUCAAGCUCCUCUACUGCUAGUAUCAGUCAAACCAGGAGAGAGACUGAAGAAGAUACAUUUAGAUCUGAUAUUGCUCAUAGAGUAAUGACAGAAUGUACUGGAAUGAUCAAGGAUUGUGGGAUUGAUAUUCACUUCUUAGUAGAUAAGUUAUUAGAACACAAAAUUGUCAAUACGAGAGAGAAAAGACGAAUAUUUGAUCAAGAAAUUGACGACAAAAAAAUGGAUCAAUUGCUUCACAUUAUUUUAAGUUCUAUUUCUAUGGAUGGAGGAGUAUUUGGUAUAUUCUUAGAUAUACUAAAAAAGGAGGAUACUCUAAGAACUAUUAAACUAGCUGAUCAACUAUUAAAAAGAUACGAAUGGAAAAAAAAUCUGUAAAUUUAUAACUAUUAUAAUUAUGCAUCAUUUAUCUUUAGUGCCGGUGUGUGUGUGUGUGUGUGUGUGUGUGUAUGUUUUGAAAUAAAAGUAUAUUUAGCAUUUUCAUUUGCUUUAAUAUCUGAUUUUAGUUUUAUCUGAUUUUUAUCUGAA